rnacentral:rRNA from 1 species
GAUGAACGCUGGCGUCGUGCCUAAUACAUGCAAGUCGAGCGAACAGACGAGGAGCUUGCUCCUCUGACGUUAGCGGCGGACGGGUGAGUAACACGUGGAUAACCUACCUAUAAGACUGGGAUAACUUCGGGAAACCGGAGCUAAUACCGGAUAAUAUAUUGAACCGCAUGGUUCAAUAGUGAAAGACGGUUUUGCUGUCACUUAUAGAUGGAUCCGCGCCGCAUUAGCUAGUUGGUAAGGUAACGGCUUACCAAGGCAACGAUGCGUAGCCGACCUGAGAGGGUGAUCGGCCACAAUGGAACUGAGACACGGGCAAGACUCCUACGGGAGGCAGCAGUAGGGAAGCUUACGCAAUGGGCGAAAGCCUGAAGGAGCAAAGCCGCGUGAGUGAGGAAGGUCUUCGGAUCGUAAAACUCUGUUAUUAGGGAAGAACAAAUGUGUAAGUAACGAUGCAAGUCUUGACGGUACCUAAUCAGAAAGCCACGGCUAACUACGUG